rnacentral:rRNA from 1 species
GACAGAGGUUGCAAACGUUGUUCGGAAUUACUGGGCAUAAAGCGCACGUAGGUGGUUCGCUAAGUCGAAUGUGAAACUCCCCGGCUCAACCGGGGAACGGCAUGCGAUACUGGCGAGCUUGAGGUCCGGAGGGGUGAGUGGAACUCCUGGUGGAGCGGUGAAAUGCGUAGAUAUCAGGAGGAACACCGGUGGCGAAAGCGGCUCACUGGCCGGAAACUGACACUGAGGUGCGAAAGCUAGGGGUAGCAAACGGG